GAAAAAAAUCAAGGAAUGGAUAAUAUAAGAGCCUUUCAAGAAUGUAGAUUUACACUAGAGAUUUAUUAAAUUUGAGGGCCUAUAACAAAAUUAAUUUAUUUAAACAAAUAUUUGUUAAAAAUUCUUUUAUAAAGUACCUGCCACUGUGUUAGGUGUUCUGGGGAAUCUGAGAGAAAUAGAAAGACACUAGAAUAAUAUGGUUGGUCUAAAGCACUCAAGAUUUAGAAUCAAUGGAGGCUUGUGUUCAAGUUGAGAUUUUACCACCACUUAUCAGCUGUAUCCUCUGGUUUUACUUAAUUGUAGGUCUACUGAUCACUGCCUUCCCUGCUCUGCCAUCAUACAAAUUAUCUCAUAGGAUUGUUUUGAGGAUUAAACAAAACACCAACCACGGGUCACAGAUUAUGACAUUUUCAAGAAGGACACGUUUGCUUCCCCUGCCACCAUUGUAAGUUUCCCAAUGCCUCCCCAGCCCUGCAGAACUGUGAGCCAGUUAAACCUCUUUCCUCUAUAAAUUACCUAGUCUCGGGCAGUUCUUUAUAGCAGCAUGAGAAUGGACUAAUACAGUAAACUGGUACCACAGAGAGUGGGGUGCUACUGUAAAGAUACAUGAAAAUGUGGAAGUUACUUUGGAACUGGGUAACAGGUAGAGGUUGGAACAGUUUGGAGGGCUCAGAAGACAGGAAAAUGUGG
rnacentral:lncRNA from 10 species